GAUGAACGCUGGCGGCGUGCCUAAUACAUGCAAGUCGAGCGAACAGACGAGGAGCUUGCUCCUCUGACGUUAGCGGCGGACGGGUGAGUAACACGUGGAUAACCUACCUAUAAGACUGGGAUAACUUCGGGAAACCGGAGCUAAUACCGGAUAAUAUAUUGAACCGCAUGGUUCAAUAGUGAAAGACGGUUUUGCUGUCACUAUGAGAUGAUUCCGCGCCGCAUUAGCUAGUUGGUAAGGUAACGGCUUACCAAGGCAACGAUGCGUAGCCGACCUGAGAGGGUGAUCGGCCACACUGGAACUGAGACACGGUCCAGACUCCUACGGGAGGCAGCAGUAGGGAAUAUUCCGCAAUGGGCGAAAGCCUGACGGAGCAACGCCGCGUGAGUGAUGAAGGUCUUCGGAUCGUAAAGCUCUGUUAUUAGGGAAGAACAAAUGUGUAAGAAACUAUGCACGUCUUGACGGUACCUAAUCAGAAAGCCACGGCUAACUACGUG
rnacentral:rRNA from 1 species